rnacentral:rRNA from 1 species
UGGGGAAUUUUGGACAAUGGGCGAAAGCCUGAUCCAGCAAUGCCGCGUGUGUGAAGAAGGCCUUCGGGUUGUAAAGCACUUUUGUCCGGAAAGAAAUCCUUGGCUCUAAUACAGUCGGGGGAUGACGGUACCGGAAGAAUAAGCACCGGCUAACUACGUGCCAGCAGCCGCGGUAAUACGUAGGGUGCAAGCGUUAAUCGGAAUUACUGGGCGUAAAGCGUGCGCAGGCGGUUUGCUAAGACCGAUGUGAAAUCCCCGGGCUCAACCUGGGAACUGCAUUGGUGACUGGCAGGCUAGAGUAUGGCAGAGGGGGGUAGAAUUCCACGUGUAGCAGUGAAAUGCGUAGAGAUGUGGAGGAAUACCGAUGGCGAAGGCAGCCCCCUGGGCCAAUACUGACGCUCAUGCACGAAAGCGUGGGGAGCAAACAGGAUUAGAUACCCUGGUAGUCCACGCCCUAAACGAUGUCAACUAGUUGUCGGGGAUUCAUUUCCUUAGUAACGUAGCUAACGCGUGAAGUUGACCGCCUGGGGAGUACGGUCGCAAGAUUAAAACUCAAAGGAAUUGACGGGGUCAUAGCUGUUUCC